CCUACGGGGGGCUGCAGUGGGGAAUUUUGGACAAUGGGCGAAAGCCUGAUCCAGCCAUGCCGCGUGAGUGAAGAAGGCCUUCGGGUUGUAAAGCUCUUUCGCAAGGAAAGAAAACUUAGCUACUAAUACUAGUUGAGGAUGACGGUACCUUGAUAAGAAGCACCGGCUAACUACGUGCCAGCAGCCGCGGUAAUACGUAGGGUAAUAGCGUUAAUCGGAAUUAGCGGAGGUGAAGCGUGAAGUCGCGGGUGAAAUCCCCGGGCUCAACCUGGGAACUGCGUUUGAAACUACAAGGCUAGAGUGUAGAAGAGGGGGGUAGAAUUCCACGUGUAGCAGUGAAAUGCGUAGAGAUGUGGAGGAAUACCGAUGGCGAAGGCAGCCCCCUGGGCUAACACUGACGCUCAUGCACGAAAGCGUGGGGAGCAAACAGGAUUAGAUACCCCGGUAGUC
rnacentral:rRNA from 1 species